rnacentral:rRNA from 1 species
UGCAGUCGAACGGUGACAGGAUGUGCUUGCACAUCGCUGACGAGUGGCGGACGGGUGAGUAAUGCUUGGGAACUUGCCUUUGCGAGGGGGAUAACAGUUGGAAACGACUGCUAAUACCGCAUAAUGUCUUCGGACCAAACGGGGCUUCGGCUCCGGCGCAAAGAGAGGCCCAAGUGAGAUUAGCUAGUUGGUAAGGUAACGGCUUACCAAGGCGACGAUCUCUAGCUGUUCUGAGAGGAAGAUCAGCCACACUGGGACUGAGACACGGCCCAGACUCCUACGGGAGGCAGCAGUGGGGAAUCUUGGACAAUGGGCGCAAGCCUGAUCCAGCCAUGCCGCGUGAGUGAUGAAGGCCUUAGGGUCGUAAAGCUCUUUCGCCAGGGAUGAUAAUGACAGUACCUGGUAAAGAAACCCCGGCUAACUCCGUGCCAGCAGCCGCGGUAAUACGGAGGGGGUUAGCGUUGUUCGGAAUUACUGGGCGUAAAGCGCGCGUAGGCGGGUUGUUAAGUUAGAGGUGAAAUCCCGGGGCUCAACCCCGGAACUGCCUUUAAUACUGGCAACCUAGAGUUCGAGAGAGGUGAGUGGAAUUCCGAGUGUAGAGGUGAAAUUCGUAGAUAUUCGGAGGAACACCAGUGGCGAAGGCGGCUCACUGGCUCGAUACUGACGCUGAGGUGCGAAAGUGUGGGGAGCAAACAGGAUUA